rnacentral:rRNA from 1 species
AUUGAACGCUGGCGGCAGGCCUAACACAUGCAAGUCGAGCGGAUGAAGGGAGCUUGCUCCUGGAUUCAGCGGCGGACGGGUGAGUAAUGCCUAGGAAUCUGCCUGGUAGUGGGGGAUAACGUCCGGAAACGGGCGCUAAUAUCGCAUACGUCCUGAGGGAGAAAGUGGGGGAUCUUCGGACCUCACGCUCUCAGAUGAUCCUAGGUCGGAUUAGCUAGUUGGUGGGGUAAAGGCCUACCAAGGCGACGAUCCGUAACUGGUCUGAGAGGAUGAUCAGUCACACUGGAACUGAGACACGGUCCAGACUCCUACGGGAGGCAGCAGUGGGGAAUAUUGGACAAUGGGCGAAAGCCUGAUCCAGCCAUGCCGCGUGUGUGAAGAAGGUCUUCGGAUUGUAAAGCACUUUAAGUUGGGAAGAAGGGCAGUAAGUUAAUACCUUGCUGUUUUGACGUUACCAACAGAAUAAGCACCGGCUAACUUCGUG